rnacentral:lncRNA from 1 species
GAAGGAGGAGAAGGAGGAGGGAAGAAAAUAAGAAGAGGAGAAGGAGGAGAGAAGAAAAGAGGAAGAGGAGAAGGAGGGAAAAUGAAGAGCGAUGAAGGGACGAAACUCGCAACAUGUAUGUUCUUGAAAAACUUCAACAUGAUUUUUAUUGCAUUUGAAACCAUUAUGUGAUUCGCAUUCACAAUGUUGAUUAUAUUUUCCAAUUCCAUAGAAAACUAU